GGUGACCUGCGGAGGGACAUUACACAAAUAUGAAGGCGGGCUGGAACCUCUCGGGGUUACAGCCUUGCUGAAUUAUUCACCCUUGUCUUUUGCGUACUUCUUGUUUCCUUGGUGGGUUCGCCCACCACUAGGACAAACAUAAACCUUUUGUAAUUGCAAUCAGCGUCAGUAACAAAUUAAUAAUUACAACUUUCAACAACGGAUCUCUUGGUUCUGGCAUCGAUGAAGAACGCAGCGAAAUGCGAUAAGUAGUGUGAAUUGCAGAAUUCAGUGAAUCAUCGAAUCUUUGAACGCACAUUGCGCCCUUUGGUAUUCCAAAGGGCAUGCCUGUUCGAGCGUCAUUUGUACCCUCAAGCUUUGCUUGGUGUUGGGCGUCUUGUCUCUAGCUUUGCUGGAGACUCGCCUUAAAGUAAUUGGCAGCCGGCCUACUGGUUUCGGAGCGCAGCACAAGUCGCACUCUCUAUCAGCAAAGGUCUAGCAUCCAUUAAGCCUUUUUUUCAACUUUUGACCUCGGAUCAGGUAGGGAUACCCGCUGAACUUAAG
rnacentral:rRNA from 1 species